GAGCGAACGGGGAGCAGCCCAGAGCCUGAAUCAGUAUGUGUGUUAGUGGAAGCGUCUGGAAAGGCGCGCGAUACAGGGUGACAGCCCCGUACACAAAAAUGCACAUGCUGUGAGCUCGAUGAGUAGGGCGGGACACGUGGUAUCCUGUCUGAAUAUGGGGGGACCAUCCUCCAAGGCUAAAUACUCCUGACUGACCGAUAGUGAACCAGUACCGUGAGGGAAAGGCGAAAAGAACCCCGGCGAGGGGAGUGAAAAAGAACCUGAAACCGUGUACGUACAAGCAGUGGGAGCACGCUUAGGCGUGUGACUGCGUACCUUUUGUAUAAUGGGUCAGCGACUUAUAUUCUGUAGCAAGGUUAACCGAAUAGGGGAGCCGAAGGGAAACCGAGUCUUAACUGGGCGUUAAGUUGCAGGGUAUAGACCCGAAACCCGGUGAUCUAGCCAUGGGCAGGUUGAAGGUUGGGUAACACUAACUGGAGGACCGAACCGACUAAUGUUGAAAAAUUAGCGGAUGACUUGUGGCUGGGGGUGAAAGGCCAAUCAAACCGGGAGAUAGCUGGUUCUCCCCGAAAGCUAUUUAGGUAGCGCCUCGUGAAUUCAUCUCCGGGGGUAGAGCACUGUUUCGGCAAGGGGGUCAUCCCGACUUACCAACCCGAUGCAAACUGCGAAUACCGGAGAAUGUUAUCACGGGAGACACACGGCGGGUGCUAACGUCCGUCGUGAAGAGGGAAACAACCCAGACCGCCAGCUAAGGUCCCAAAGUCAUGGUUAAGUGGGAAACGAUGUGGGAAGGCCCAGACAGCCAGGAUGUUGGCUUAGAAGCAGCCAUCAUUUAAAGAAAGCGUAAUAGCUCACUGGUCGAGUCGGCCUGCGCGGAAGAUGUAACGGGGCUAAACCAUGCACCGAAGCUGCGGCAGCGACGCUGAUGCGUUGUUGGGUAGGGGAGCGUUCUGUAAGCCUGCGAAGGUGUGCUGUGAGGCAUGCUGGAGGUAUCAGAAGUGCGAAUGCUGACAUAAGUAACGAUAAAGCGGGUGAAAAGCCCGCUCGCCGGAAGACCAAGGGUUCCUGUCCAACGUUAAUCGGGGCAGGGUGAGUCGACCCCUAAGGCGAGGCCGAAAGGCGUAGUCGAUGGGAAACAGGUUAAUAUUCCUGUACUUGGUGUUACUGCGAAGGGGGGACGGAGAAGGCUAUGUUGGCCGGGCGACGGUUGUCCCGGUUUAAGCGUGUAGGCUGGU
rnacentral:rRNA from 1 species